ACGGUACUUCGUUCAGUUACGUAUUGCUGGUGCUGAAGAAAGUUGUCGGUGUCUUUGUGUUAACCUUUCUGUUGGUGCUGAUAUUGCAGAGUUUGAUCCUGGCUCAGAUUGAACGCUGGCGGAACGCUUUACACAUGCAAGUCGAACGGUAACGCGGAGAGAAGCUUGCUUCUCCCCGACGACAGUGGCGAACGGGUGAGUAAUACAUCGGAACGUGUCCGCUCGUGGGGACAACCAGCCGAAAGGUUGGCUAAUACCGCAUGAGUUCUACGGAAGAAAGGGGGRCCCGCAGGGACCUCUCGCGAGCGGGAGGAGCGGCCGAUGACUGAUUAGCCGGUUGGUGAGGUAACGGCUCACCAAGCAACGAUCAGUAGCUGGUCUGAGAGGACGACCAGCCACACUGGGACUGAGACACGGCCCAGACUCCUACAGGAGGCAGCAGUGGGGGAAUUUUGGACAAUGGGCGCAAGCCUGAUCCARUAUUCCGCGUGUGGGAUGAAGGCCCUCGGGUUGUAAACCACUUUUUAGAAAAACAAAAGACACCUUUAAAAAAGGGUGUUGCUGACGGUACUCUAAGAAUAAGCACCGGCUAACUACGUGCCAGCAGCCGCGGUAAUACGUAGGGGCGCGAGCGUUAAUCAGAUUACUGGGCGUAAAAGGGUGCGCAGGCGGUUGGAGUAAGACAGAUGUGAAAUCCCCGAGCUUAACUCGGGAAUGGCAUAUGUGACUGCUCGACUAGAGUGUGUCAGAGGGAGGUGGAAUUCCACGUGUAGCAGUGAAAUGCGUAGAUAUGUGGAAGAACACCGAUGGCGAAAGCAACCUCCUGGGACAUAACUGACGCUCAGGCACGAAAGCGUGGGAGCAAACAGGAUUAGAUACCCUGGUAGUCCACGCCCUAAACGAUGUUAACUAGUUGUUGGGAAGUAAAAUUCUCAGGUAACGCAGCCAACGCGAAGUUAACCGCCUGGGAAGUACGGUCGCAAGACUAAAACUCAAAGGAAUUGACGGGGACCCGCACAAGCGGUGGAUGAUGUGGAUUAAUUCGAUGCAACGCGAAAAACCUUACCUACCCUUGACAUGUCAGGAAGCUCUUGUAAUGAGAGUGUGCCCGCAAGGGAGCCUGAACACAGGUGCUGCAUGGCUGUCGUCAGCUCGUGUCGUGAGAUGUUGGGUUAAGUCCCGCAACGAGCGCAACCCUUGUCACUAGUUGCUACGAAAGGGCACUCUAGUGAGACUGCCGGUGACAAACCGGAGGAAGGUGGGGAUGACGUCAAGUCCUCAUGGCCCUUAUGGGUAGGGCUUCACACGUCAUACAAUGGUCGGAACAGAGGGCAGCAGAAGCCGUGAGGCGGAGCCAAUCCCAAAAACCGAUCGUAGUCCGAUUGCAGUCUGCAACUCGACUGCAUGAAGUCGGAAUCGCUAGUAAUCGCGGAUCAGCAUGCCGCGGUGAAUACGUUCCCGGGUCUUGUACACACCGCCCGUCAAACAAUGGGGUGGUGUUUACAGAAGUCGUUAGCCUAACCGCAAGGAGGCGGCGACCACGGUGAGCACCGUGACUAAUGUUAAGUCGUAACAAGGUAGCCGUACCGGAAGGUGCGGCUGGAUCCUCCCCUUUCAAGUAAAAGCAGUAUGAGCUCAGAAGUUCUGAGUGUCCGCUCUUAUCGGAAGUCGAUAAAGAUUUGAAGACAAACCCGAGACCGUGGGUCUUUAGCUCAGCUGGUUUAGAGCACCGUCUUGAUAAGGCGGGGUCGAUGGUUCAGUCCAUCAAGACCCACCAUGGCACUUCUUGACGGGGGUAUAGCUCAGCUGGGAGAGCACCUGCUUUGCAAGCAGGGGUCAACAGUUCGAUCCGUUUACCUCCACCACGAGAUAUACGGGCAAGUCAAAAAAAAAAAAAAAAAAGAYUUUACGGAGCUUUUUGAUAUUGUCUUUUGACAAUGUGUUCUUUAACAAUUCGGAAUAAUCAAUCUAACGUUUAAGCUGAUUUGAUGAGAGUCAGCGAGAACGGGUAGUGAUAAGAAAUCUUUACAAAGAGAAACUUUGAGAUUUCUCAAGCAAAGACAUACAAGCAUAUGGCAUGAGAACGAGAGUUGCUUGUGACCCGGCCGGGCAAUAGGCAGCAGGGUUAUAGGAUCAAGUGACUAAGUGCAUGUGGCGGAUGCCUUGGCGAUCACAGGCGAAGAAAGACGCGGCAGCCUGCGAAAAGCUGCGGGGAGCUGGCAAACGAGCUUUGAUCCGCAGAUAUCUGAAUGGGGAACCACACCGCAAGGUGUAUCCGUAACUGAAUACAUAGGUUACGGAGGCGAACAAGGAGAACUGAAACAUCUAAGUAUCCUCAGGAAAAAAAAUCAACCGAGAUUCCGGCAGUAGCGGCGAGCGAACAGSMGGACCAACCUUUGAUAGUACGAACUUUAGCCGAAGGUCCUGGAAAGGCCUGCUAUAGUGGGUGAUAGCCCGUAGGCGAAAGAGUUGGUACGGUACUAAGGAAGCGAGAAGUAGAGCGGGACACGUGGAAUCCUGUUCGAAGACGGGGGCCAUCCUCCAAGGCUAAAUACUCGUGAUCGACCGAUAGUGAACCAGUACCGUGAGGGAAAAGGAAAAAAAACCCGGGGGGAGUGAAAUAGAACCUGAAACCGCAUGCAUACAAACAGUAGGAGCCUCAUCARGGUGACUGCGUACCUUGCAUAAUGGRUGGGUCACACUUCUCUGUGGCGAGCUUAACCGAAUAGGGAGGCGCAGCGAAAGCAGUCGAAUGAGCGUUCAGUCGCAGGGUGUAGACCCGGAAACCAGAUGAGCUAUCCAUGGCCAGGUUGAAGGUGUGGUAACACACUGGAGGACCRAACCAACUAGUGUUGCAAAAUUAGCGGAUGAGCUGUGGAUGGGGGUGAAAGGCCAAACAAAUCUGGAGAUAGCUGGUUCUCCCCRAAACUAUUGAGGUAGUGCCUCGUGUGUCGCUCCCGGGGGUAGAGCACUGUUUUGGCUAGGGGGGACAUGAGUCUUACCAAACCAAGGCAAACUCGAAAUACCCUGGAAGCGUGAGCACGGGAGACAGAGCACCGGGUGCUAACGUCCGGACUCAARGGGAAACACCCAGACCGCGGCUAAGGUCCCAAAUAACAGCUAAGUGGAAAACAAAGUGGAAAGGCCGUGACAACCAGGAAGUUGGCUUAGAAGCAGCCAUCCUUCAAGAAAGCGUAAUAGCUCACUGGUCGAGUCCUUCUGCGCGGAAGAUGUAACGGGGCUAAGCUGUUAACCGAAGCCGCGGAUGCGCUGGUUAUCCAGUGCGUGGUAGGGAGCGUUCUGUAAGUCUGCGAAGGCGGUUCGAGAGGACUGCUGGAGAUAUCAGAAGUGCGAAUGCUGACAUGAGUAACGUUAAAGCAGGUGAAAAGCCUGCUCGCCGUAACCAAGGAUUCCUGCUCUACGUUCAUCGGAGCAGGGUGGAGUCAACUCUAAGGUCAGGCCGAAGGCGUAGCCGAUGGGAAUCAGGUUAAUAUUCCUGAACCUGCGUCAGAUGCGAUGGGGGGACGGAGCAUGGAAGAUCAUCCGGGUGUUGRAGUCCCGGUUGUUUUUYGGCWAKAGGAGGUCUGCAGGCAAAUCCGCAGACGCAUCUCAAAGCAAAGACACGUGCCGCCACGGCGGCGAAGUGAUCGGAAGUGCUUCAAGAAAAGCCUCUAAGCUUCAGUCUGAUGCGGACCGUACCGCAAACCGACACUGGUGGGCGAGCUGAAUAUGCUCAGGCGCUUGAGAGAACUCGGGAGAAGGAACUCGGCAAAUUGACACCGUAACUUCGGAAGAAGGUGUGCCGUAGUACCGUGAGAGAGACACCUUGAGCGGAAACGGUCUCAGAGAAUAGGUGGCUGCGACUGUUUAUUAAAACACAGCACUCUGCAAAGUCGAAGACGACGUAUARGGUGUGAUGCCUGCCGGUGCUGGAAGAUUAAUUGAUGGGGUGAGAGCCCUUGAUCGAAGUCCCAGUAAACGGCGGCCGUAACUAUAACGGUCCUAAGGUAGCGAAAUUCCUUGUCGGGUAAGUUCCGACCUGCACGAAUGGCAUAACGAUGGCCACACUGUCUCCUCCCGAGACUCAGUGAAGUUGAAAUGUUUGUGAUGAUGCAAUCUACCCGCGGCUAGACGGAAAAAACCCCAUGAACCUUUACUGCAGCUUUGUAUUGAACUGUGAACCGAUUUGUGUAGGAUGGGUGGGAGGCAGAGAAGAGGCCACGCCAGUUAGUCUUGGAGCCGACCUUGAAAUACCACCCUGAUUUGUUUGCGGUUCUAACCACGGACAGUGAUCCUGUCUUGGGACCGUGCAUGGUAGGCAGUUUAACUGGGGCGGUGAAGAUAGAGCGACAGGCAAGUAGGUUAACACAAAGAAVACA
rnacentral:rRNA from 1 species